rnacentral:rRNA from 1 species
UACGUGGGGUGCAAGCGUUAAUCGGAAUUACUGGGCGUAAAGCGUGCGCAGGCGGUUCGCUAAGACAGAUGUGAAAUCCCCGGGCUUAACCUGGGAACUGCAUUUGUGACUGGCGGGCUAGAGUAUGGCAGAGGGGGGUAGAAUUCCACGUGUAGCAGUGAAAUGCGUAGAGAUGUGGAGGAAUACCGAUGGCGAAGGCAGCCCCCUGGGCCAAUACUGACGCUCAUGCACGAAAGCGUGGGGAGCAAACAGG